rnacentral:rRNA from 1 species
AUUGAACGCUGGAGGCAGGCUUAAGAAAUGCAAGUCGAACGAGUGGCGGACGGGUGAGUAAUGUCUGGGGAACUGCCCGACGGAGGGGGAUAACUACAGGAAACGGUAGCGAAUACCGCAUUCCAUCGGAUGUGGCCAGAUGGGAUUAGCUAGUUGGUGGGGGAACGGCUCACCUGGGCGACGAUCCCUAGAUGGUCUGAGAGGAUGACCAGCCAAACUGGAACUGAGACACGGUCCAGACUCCUGCGGGAGGCGGCUGUGGAGAAUAUUGCACAAUGGGCGCAAGCCUGAUGCAGCCAUGCCGAGUGUAUGAAGAAGGCCUUCGGGUUGUAAAGUACUUUCAGCGAGGAGGCGUUACUCGCAGAAGAAGCACCGGCUAACUCCGUGCCAGCAGCCGCGGUAAUUC